rnacentral:rRNA from 1 species
CACGUAGGGGGCAAGCGUUGUCCGGAAUUAUUGGGCGUAAAGAGCGUGUAGGCGGCCAGAUAAGUCCGCUGUGAAAUCUCGAGGCUCAACUUCGAGCUGCCGGUGGAAACUGUCUGGCUAGAGUCCGGAAGAGGAGAAUGGAAUUCCUGGUGUAGCGGUGAAAUGCGCAGAUAUCAGGAAGAACACCCGUGGCGAAGGCGGUUCUCUGGAACGCAACUGACGCUGAGACGCGAAAGCGUGGGGAGCGAACCGG